rnacentral:rRNA from 1 species
ACUUUGCAAUGUGCGAAAGCACGACAAGGUUAAUCCGAGUGGUUUGUGCUAAACAGACCUUUUGUUAGUCCUAGAAACACUAACGAAUAAGGGGUGGGCAAGUUCUGGUGUCAGCCGCCGCGGUAAAACCAGCACCUCAAGUGGUCAGGAUGAUUAUUGGGCCUAAAGCAUCCGUAGCCGGCUCUGUAAGUUUUCGGUUAAAUCUGUAUGCUCAACAUACAGGCUGCCGGGAAUACUGCAGAGCUAGGGAGUGGGAGAGGUAGACGGUACUCGGUAGGAAGGGGUAAAAUCCUUUGAUCUAUUGAUGACCACCUGUGGCGAAGGCGGUCUACCAGAACACGUCCGACGGUGAGGGAUGAAAGCGUGGGGGAGCAAACC